rnacentral:rRNA from 1 species
AAUAUAUAGUUUAAUAAUAUAAUAAAUUUUUAUAAAAGAUAAAGAUUUAAGAUAAUGUACAAUAAUGGAGUAUAAAAUAAAUUAAGUUGAUUAUCUUACCUUUUGCAUUAUGGGUGUACAAGAGUAUUUAUUAAUAUUUUUUCUCGAAAUCUAAAUGAGCUGAAAUGUAACUGUUUAGAACUUAUAUAUAAUUGUUACAUUAAUUUUUAAAGAUUACAUUUUAGAAGCUAUAAACUUAACGCAUUAGAUUAUUGCUAGUUUCUAUUGUGACUAUAAAUUAGUAAAUUAAAAAAAUUUUGAAUAAUAGAGGAUAAGCUCUAUUAUUUUUUCCUAUAACAAAUAAAAUUUUAAAAAUAAGCUUUAAAACAGCUAUCAUGAGUACCUCGUCGUAGUAUAAAUAUAAAAAUAUAAUUAUGGAUUAUAAAAAUAGAAUUAACGAUAAUUAUUUUAGUUGAAUAUUAUGUAUAUAUUAGUAAUAUUUAAUCUAGAAAUAAAGAACUCGGCAAAUGUAAAUUUCGACUGUUUAACAAAAACAUUUCCUUAAGAUAGAUUAAUUUAAGGUACAUCCUGCCCAAUGAUUAUUUUAAUGGCCGCAGUAUAUUGACUGUCGCUAAGGUAGCAUAAUAAAUUGUUUAUUAAUUGUAAACUAGAAUGAAUGGAAUUACGAAAAAUUGACUGUCUCAUUUUUAUAGAAUAAAUUUAAUAUUUAACGUGAAGAAGCUUAAAUUUAAUUGUAAGACAAGAAGACCCUAUAAAGCUUUAUGGUAAUAUUAAAUUAAUUAAUAAAAUAUUUGAUUGGGGCGAUCAGUGAUAUAAUAAACAUCAUUUUUUGAUAUGAAGAAUUAAUCUUUGUUAGACCCUUUUUUAGAUCUUAAGAUUAAGUUACUUUAGGGGUAACAGGCUAAUUUUAUAUUGAAGUUCUUAUUUGAUAUAAUGUUUGGCACCUCGAUGUUGACUUAAAUAACCUAUAAGGCGCAAGAGCUUUUAUAAGGGGGUUUGUUCAACCUUUAAAUAUUUACAUGAGUUGAGUUCAGACCGGCGUAAGCCAGGUUAGAUUCUAUCUACAAUUAAAAUAUUAUUUUUAAGUGUUGUACGAAAGGACCUACUUAUUUUUAUUAUAGAUUUUAUUAUUGUUAUUUU